CCCGCCUCCAUGGCCCAGCACACACGCACGCCCCAGCCACGACCAACCCAGCGCCGCCGCCUUUUUUUUCCUUUUCUUUUAGUCCCACCUCGCCUCCUUGAAGAAAAUCUAAAGGUAUAAACGAUGCCCCCCAUAGGGGGCUUCACAGCGAUAUCAGCUUCUGGACCGUUGAAUCUUGUCAGCAGCUAUCAGCCAGUGAAUCUCGUCCGUUCGUUCUAGGUAGCAACGCACCCCCUGGUUGGCUGUGUGGGCGUAUGAGCGUUUUACCAUUGGUUCCCCUCACUAGAGAAAGCCAUGGAACCGCGCUGGUGUACCCACCUGCGGCUGUGCGCGGGCCCCACGUCCAGCCGGGUCCGCUCGUCGGUAGCUGCGGGUCGAUUUUGGCUUAGUCGUGCAUCACUCCGGCCCGUGGAAAAUAGCUUCUCGCGACGGGGUAGUUUGGGUUUUUCGUCGAUCUCCCCAAUCCCUGUGUCCCGCAGCUCCCCCAAUGCACGCCUCCUCCACUCCCAUCCUCCUCCAAUCCCCUUGCGCCGCCUGCACCAGUCCGUCGCGCCGCCGUCGCCAGGAGGAAGUGCUAGACUACCAUUCCCCCAACCUGCAGCCGCCGCCUGGGUCUCCCGCAUUCAUCCCCUCCCCUGAUUCGGUGGUGCCACGGCGGACGGAUUCAUGGCGAGUUGCGGAGGCUGCGGAUUCAUGGCGACCUCACAGUGGCGCGAGCCGCUGCCGGCGAUGGAGAGGUGGAUCUCCGCAGGCAACGACAUGUUCACACCAUUAGCAGCAGCACCCUCUGCGUAGAUCUAUGGUAACCGACAAGGAGGAGAGGGACAGGACGGGAGGGGCAAGAAGCCCCGCGUCCUCAGCGAUGAUGAAGAUGGGGAGGAUGCAAAGAUGGCUUCUUCUUCAUCCAAGACCUGCAGGGGUUCAACCCAGAAAACGACCGCUGCAACAGGCACACCGAACCUGAUGGAGAGGGCUCGUUGGCAGAAGAUUUGGCUGGUGGGGUGGUCGCCCAACCUGGUGUCGAGAAGGCUCUACACAUUCUCUCCUGCAUCGUUCUUCUUGGUGACGGUUGAAGCAGUAAAGGCGUCGGUUCUCCUGCCAGUAGCAGCAGUGGCACGAGGAUGAGGGUGAGGUGUCGUGGCCAGCGUUCGGCCACUAUCGGAGAAGGUGGAGCAAGGGUGGAGGUUGCAGCACUGCAUGAAGCGAACUCUAAAUGCUAUUAUGUGUCAUCAACCUUCCCAUGCGCACCAGAAUAAGAAGUUUGAUGUUAUCGUAUAAACACAAUUAUCUCCAUGUUGGAAGUUGCUUCAGGAAGAAUAACAGGUUUGCUAUAAAACUUUGUCAACGGUUGAAGGGAAAGCAGAAAGUUCAUGCCUACUAAACUUGCUUCAUGAAGAAUAGCAGGUUUGCUACUAAUUCUGGUCGUCUUGGUGCAUCCCAGGUUUCUUACUAAUGUUGAUUUUUUUAAUGCAUUGGAGGUUUGCUACCAAAUUUCCGAAAAGAAUUAAUCCCUUUUUGAAUACCAUCUGUGGAGGUAUUAGCUGAAACCAGGGUAUUCAGAGAACACCUAAUAUAUUUGUGGACCAGUACUUGUUGUGGUGAUACAAGGUAAAGUUACUUUUUCAGCAACCCUUUCAGAGUAGCUUUUAUGCUUUUCUAAAUAUAUAUGUGGACAUUUAAAGCAUCUGUGUUCUAUAUAUUUCUUAGUUGCAAUCGUGCAUCAUCGUAUUUCAUUACCAUAGUAAUCAGUUUUCUGUUUAAUUUUUCCUACAUAAAUAUAUGUUAUAUAUAUGAGCCAGCGCUUGCAGAUUUAUAAAUUCAGAAUCUUUUUGUCAUGUUCAUUCUCUUAUAUUCUUCCAAGUUUUCCUGAAAAAAUAGUCUCUGGUACUUUCAUGUGUCCAAGGAGGCUGGGUCUGAUCUGCUGUUACCCAAGCUUGCCAAGAAGGCUUCAUAGAGGUGAGGUAUUUGACCUAGAGAUCUGAACAUAUACUUUUAUAUGGUCCCCAUCCAGUAGCAAUGCAAGUUUUGUGUUUGCAUUUUUUUCUAUAUUCCCAUAGAGUUAUACUUUAGUAGUGUGUCUGCCUUAUGUGCCAUUCAGUGUUGAUGAUCAUAGUAUGCAGAAAAUGACAAUGGUAUGGAUUAGUUAAAAUAAAGCAUCUAAAUUAGGAUAGGUAAGAUAAUUUUAUAAGCUCGCAGAGCAGUAAUUUAUUUCUUUGUAACGUGUUUAAAAAUAGGAGGGCAAUUUUGCAGCGGAUUUUCCAUUGCUUUGCCCCAUCGAUUCAUCAGAAUACUGCAAAAGGAAGGAUAAUUCCGCAUCCCGUAAUUCUUUUAUACUAUUAUAUAAUUUGUCGGCAAAUAGUCACUCGCCCUCUUUCUUGACCAGAAUAAAUGAUCACUAGAAAACUUACACUAAACCACGAUGGAUUUCUUGUGAACAGGCAUCAAAUUUAAAGUUUCUUCUUGAUAUGAAACAUUGCCCAACAUUUUUAGUAGCUGCUAGGUGCCUCCGAAGCUAAACUCAUAUGAAUUUAUUUCCAUUCACAUGAGAAAAUGAGGCAUAAUCUGUUUAUCUUCAUGUAUGUAGGCCAAAAAACAACAUGAUUGCUUGAUUGCAUAAUGUGUCUUUACGAACAAAUUAUUACCAUGUUAUGCAUGAAAUUAUUUGUAGCUGCAGUUCAGAUGUGAUAGUACCAGGAGCACUUGUGUCAAUAAUCACAAAUGGUUUUGCUGUACUAUUUAUAUGUUAAAAAUCCCGUUCUAUAUCUUGCUUGCUUACUCUUUGGCUAGGCUUCUUUUUCCCUUGAUAGAUAGAUGCAUGACUCUGCAUAGAACUCAUUACAGACAAUUAUUGUUUCUUCCGUAGUUACUGCAGCCCAUAUACAAAGACCUGGAUUUGUUGUCCAUUAUUUGACUAUCUUGACAUACCAUUAGCUUCUAACGGAUUAUAAUUGAAUUUAUGGUUUUCUCUGUAGCUAGGUGUGGGCAACUUAUGCCCAUGAGAGAUUAGAAUGCGAUUAUACAUGCUAAUAUUACUAUCCUUUAUAUCAACUAUGCUUGCUCAAAUGAUCCAAAAAAUGAAUGAACAACUGGAAUGCAAGAUCGUUGUUUGAAAGUAGUAGAAUUUUAAUAAAUAAUUUACCAUGUUUAGGUACAAUCUAAAUCACUGGUUUAUAAAAGGAUUAAAACCCCAAACCCAAUAUCAAAACUGGUCGGUGUGUAGCUUCAAUUAUGUGCAACCUGAUUGCGGUUCUACCAUGGUGAUGACGUGAAAUAGACCACAUUUUACUAGGCUUUAUUAUUCAAUAGUUAUACGUACAAGGAUCUUAGUUUCUUGUGGCAUUAAUUCUUGCUGACAAGGGUGAGUUGAGCAAAGUAAGACAUGUGGGGCGUGAGCUCCAAGGUAAUUUUGGGGGAAUUUACAGACGGUAUGAUCCACGUCCAUUACUUAUUGCAGUUAUUGGCUCUCUUUCUAUGUAGGUUAUUUUUGUGCUAGCUUUAAGCAUUAUUUCUCUUUGUGUUGUGACAAUAUAUGACACUCUAUGGUCUCCACUAUUAUGCAGAUUAGUAUCUUACUGGAAACAAAUGCCCCUAUAGAGUCUACAGGGCAAGGUGGCUACCUAUCCCUGAAAUGGCACAUAACGAUCAGCUUUCCUACUUUCAAUCUAUAUAUUACUUCAAAAAAGAUUCAUUGACAUCACAGUGCUUGCUUUCACGCUCAUUGGCCAAACUUCAAGGGAAAGAUGCCAAUACUAGAAAUUGUGGUGGAACCAUGGCGUCACACUGUAUCUAUAUCGCUUGUGCUUUCGAGUGGUGAAUCGGGACAGGCCCAGCCCCCACGACGUGAACCACUUUUGUUGUUACUGCUUUUGUUAAGUCCAGAAAAUCCAUGGUGUGCACCUAUCUCGUGAUGUUUGCAGCCUGUUAGGCAGGUACAAAUGUUGGUUAUGUGGCUUGACUCGCACGAAACCUAUGCACGUACGCAACUAUAGCCUCUGCAGGUUCCCUUGCUUCAUCUCUUUCUCCUCGAAGCAUGUCCAUUUCUAAUAUUGUGAAUGCUUUGUUUCAAGACCUGAACAGGAGGUUAUUACACUGCAAUUCAAAUGGAUUUUGUUCAGGGAAACAACAUGUCUGGAGAAAUCUCCCCGAGAAUGUGUUGAUUUGUUCAUGGAAAGGCUUUAGGAGGGAAAUGUUUAUGAGAAAGUGUGAAAUGGAGAUUGAAUUCUGCAGUACUUGCGUACUUGGUCACCAUUAUUCUGCCCAAAAGGUUUAGCUGAGAAUGCCUUGUGUUAUUCGGACAAUUGAGCAACAGAAGCAUAUGCAAGUUUGAAUCGGGAUUUUUUGCUUUGAGACUGGUAGUGACUCACCAUAUUACCUCAAGCAGCUUCAAUAUGAAUGCAAGAUUGAAAAGUAUAGGGCCUCACCGAGAUUCAGCGGUCCAGUUGCUGUUGGACGAGAGCCUGAGACGGCGGCUUGUCGGCGGUCGAGGUGGGCAAAAGCAAGCGGCGAGGCGACCAGGUGCAGGCGCCAUGGAGCUCUCAGCUCUGUCGCUGCUGCAAGUUGCCAUGCGGCUGGCGCGCUGCCUCCACCAGCUAGCUUCUCCCGUCGUCCCAAUCUCCACUGUUUAUUCUCAAUCCGUUGGGAAUAAAUAAUCAAGGACCAAGGAUAGGAGCUAGAGCUGCACGUGAAGAGGGAUUGGGGAUUUUGUUCGACAUGGAGAGAGCUGAAGCUGCACGUGAAGAUGGAUUGGGGAUUUUGGUCGACAUGGGGAGAGAGCAGAGUUGGACAGAUUUUUGCUAGAUGUACCAAUUUCUCUACCAAAUCAGUGAAUGAUAGUGAUGUCAGAUGUUGUAACUUGUGGCUUCAGUGGUAGUACUCCUAGCCGUAGUUCAAAAAUAGCCAAAAAAACUUCCAAACUAUGCUUGUUUAUUUUUUUGCCACAAAGUGAUAUUGGAAGGAAAAAACUCUCAGGCUGGAUGUUAAAUUAAUAUUUGCAUCUAUUUGUAUACUUAUAUUUUGUUUUCUACUACAACUCCCGACCUAUGCAAUGAUUUUACCCA